rnacentral:pre_miRNA from 1 species
CACCUGUACAGGCUGACUGGUCUCCAACGCUGGGCUAGGCAAGUAUCUUUGAAAGACUCACCCUCAAGCAUGGCUAGGAGC